AAAAGGAGACAUAUGGAGCUGUGCACAAUGCAAGAAAAAGGAUGAUGGCGAAAUAAAAAUGGUUUUGUGUGAUCAGUGCUUGGAAUGGUUUCACUGGCCGUGUGCUUCAGUGAAGAAGGAGGACCUAAAGCGUCACUGGUUCUGUAUGAAGUGUUGCAGUCACACAUAGAUACUUCCUGGAGCAAUAAACGCAUGCUUUUUUUUCUUUUUGCA